UAGGGAAUCUUCCGCAAUGGACGCAAGUCUGACGGAGCAACGCCGCGUGAGUGAAGAAGGAUUUCGGUUCGUAAAACUCUGUUGUUAGAGAAGAACAGCGCAUAGAGUAACUGUUAUGCGUGUGACGGUAUCUAACCAGAAAGCCACGGCUAACUACGUGCCAGCAGCCGCGGUAAUACGUAGGUGGCAAGCGUUGUCCGGAUUUAUUGGGCGUAAAGCGAGCGCAGGCGGUCAAUUAAGUCUGAUGUGAAAGCCCCCUGCUCAACCGGGGAGGGUCAUUGGAAACUGGUUGACUUGAGUGCAGAAGAGGAGAGUGGAAUUCCAUGUGUAGCGGUGAAAUGCGUAGAUAUAUGGAGGAACACCAGUGGCGAAGGCGACUCUCUGGUCUGUAACUGACGCUGAGGCUCGAAAGCGUGGGUAGCAAACAGG
rnacentral:rRNA from 1 species